UAUUUUUUUUUUUUUCUCAUUAAACUUUUUUAAUGGGUCUCAAAAUUCUGUGACAAAUUUUUGGUCAAGUUGUUUCCAUUAAAAAGUACUGAUUUUAAAAACUAAUAACUUAAAACUGCCACAAGCAAAAAAGAAAACCAAAGUGGUCCACAAAACAUUCUCCUUUCCUUCUGAAGGUUUUAUGAUGCAUUGUUAUCAUUAACCAGUCUUUUACUACUAAACUUAAAUGGCCAAUUGAAACAAACAGUUCUGAGACCAUUCUUCCUCCACCACUGAUUAAGACUGAGGUGGCAGGUAUUAGGGGUAAUAUUCAUUUAGCCUUCUGAGCUUUCUGGGCAGACUUGGUGACCUUGCCAGCUCCAGCAGCCUUCUUGUCCACUGCUUUGAUGACACCCACAGCAACUGUCUGUCUCGUAUCACGAACAGCAAAGCGACCGAGAGGUGGAUAGUCUGAGAAGCUCUCAACACACGUGGGCUUGCCAGAAACCAUAUCAACAAUGGCAGCAUCACCAGACUUCAAGAAUUUAGGGCCACCUUCCAGCUUUUUACCAGAACGGCAAUCAAUCUUUUCCUUCAGCUCAGCAAACUUGCAGGCAAUGUGAGCCGUGUGGCAAUCUAGUACAGGGGCAUAGCCAGCACUGAUUUGGCCUGGGUGGUUCAGGAUAAUCACCUGAGCAGUGAAGCCAGCUGCUUCCAUUGGUGGGUCGUUCUUGCUGUCACCAGCAAUGUUGCCACGACGAACAUCCUUGAUGUUCAUUGAGGCUGAGCGGGAGCAGAAGCAGCGUGACUUUGACCGCAAGCUCCUUCUGGCCAAGUCCAACAUUGAAAUGGAGGAAACCGACAAGGAACAGCUGACAGCAGAGGCCAAGGAGCUGCGCCAAAAGGUCAAGUACCUACAGGAUCAGCUGAGCCCGCUCACCCGGCAGCGCGAGUACCAGGAAAAAGAGAUCCAGUGGCUCAACAAGGCCCUGGAGGAGGCACUGAGUAUCCAAGCCCCUCCAUCAUCUCCACCAACAGCAUUUGGGAGCCCAGAAGGAGCAGGGGGCCUCCAAAGUUGUGGUCACGCACAACGAGUUACUGAAACAGCAGAUGAAGAUCUUUGAGGAGGACUUCCAGAGGGAGCGCAGUGAUCGUGAUCUCAUGAAUGAGGAGAAGGAAGAGCUAAAGAAGCAAGUGGAGAAGCUGCAGGCCCAGGUCACCCUGUCGAAUGCCCAGCUAAAAGCGUUCAAAGAUGAGGAGAAGGCAAGAGAAGCCCUCAGAUAGCAGAAGAGGAAAGCAAAGGCCUCUGGAGAGCGCUACCGUGUGGAGCCCCACCCGGAACACCUCUGCGGUGCCUACCCUUACGCCUACCCACCCAUGCCAGCCAUGGUACCACACCACGGCUUUGAGGACUGGUCCCAGAUCCGCUACCCGCCUCCCCCCAUGGCCAUGGAGCACCCGCCCCCACUCCCCAACUCGCGCCUCUUCCAUCUGCCGGAAUACACCUGGCAUCUACCCUGUGGAGGGAUUCGAAAUCCAAAUCAGAGCUCCCAAGUGAUGGACCCUCCCGCAGCCAGGCCUGCAGAACCAGAGUCUGCAAAAAAUGACCGUGAGGGGCCUCAGUGAGACCAGAUUGUGUCAUUUGGCUCCACCUUCAUCUUGCAGAGCCAGAUGACCUCAGAUUGCCGAAAAGCUAGAAGUCACAUGCACAGUGUGGCCAGAGCCUCAACUGGAUGAGAGGCCGAGAUGGGUGGCCAGCUUGUACCCCAGUCCCUGAACUGAGCUGUUUACAAGACUAGGGAGGCUCUGCCCAGAAGGCUUUCAUUUGCACUCUGCUGGGAGUGACUGGGAAAAACUCACUACCCUGCUGCUGAGUGAAGAGAGACUUCAUCCAGUUCUGACCUGCCAUCCACUGCAGAAGCCUCCAGGAGCAGCAAUCCUAAGAGUGGGGGGCGGCCAAGACCCCCUUCCUUCACAACAUCACAGAAGUGGCUUCAGGCCCUCUGGGUGCCAUGACCAAUUUGUGUGUAUGUUUAUUUUUUGCUUCAAGCUCUGUAGCAGGACCUGUCGCACACACAGCCCUACCCCUCUGUGAGGAGCCGUGGGAAGUGUGGGAUUGUCUCCGGAGCAGAAGAGAAUGACGGAUGUUCUGACUCUGGGGCCGUCACCACCUCCACUCACAGUAACCUCGCUGAAGCCAUCACAGAUGGGAGAAGGCCAUGCCAGCCACGUCUGCUGAGGGGCCCCAGCCUGAAGCUGCCAGGCCCUGAGGUUCAGACCCUUGACCCUGCAGCUGGAGGCCUGUGGUGCCAGAAGCCUGGAUUAGGGUGGCUGUCCAUUCCUGGAUAGCUAUUUGCACGAAUCAUGGACAUAAAUCCAAGUUGAAGAUCAAAAAAAAAAAAAAAAAAA